rnacentral:rRNA from 1 species
CAGCAGCCGCCGCGGUAAGACAAAGGAUGCAAGCGUUAUCCGGAAUAAUUGGGCGUAAAGCGUCUGUAGGUGGCUUUUCAAGUCCACCAUCAAAUCCCAGGGCUCAACCCUGGACGGGCGGUGGAAACUACCAAGUUGGAGUACGGUAGGGGCAGAGGGAAUUUCCGGUGGAGCGGUGAAAUGCGUUGAGAUCGGAAAGAACACCAACGGUGAAAGCACUCUGCUGGGCUGACAUUGACACUGAGAGACAAAAGCUAGGGGAGAAAAUGGGAUUAGAUACCCCUGUAGUCCCUGUCUCUUAUAC